GAGUCCCAGGAAGUCGUUCUCAUUUGUCUGUGGGCAAAGGUAAAAGGAAGAGGAACAAGGAGCUCAGGGCAUUGAACAGGGUGUUACAAGGUCAGACUUUCCCCCCCUGCAAAGUACUUUGUUCUUGCCUAAGUAUCCCCCACGUCAGCUCAACCUCUUCCCCCUGUCUUGUGGCACCAAAUCCUUCCCACACGCCUGCUCUGUGCAGUUGUACCCCACCUGGCAGUGUGGAGUCAGCACUGCUGGAACGCCAGCAGCAAUGACAGCAAGCCCAGCCACAGCUGCCUGCACCGUCUCGGCCCUCCAUGAGCAUUCUGGUGUGGUCCAGGCUGUCUUCCCUGUGGGCAAAGUCCACAGGAGGCACAAGGACAGGACAUCCAACGUAACCAUGAUGAACUGACAACUUAGGAGGAUACAAGUCCUCUACUCCACCUUGAUUCUUCUACAGAGACACCUGGCGCUAAACCUUUUGGCUGCUCAGAGAGGGGAACAUGGUUGAUCCUCGGAAAGUGAUGGAACAAUUUACACCAGUAGCCGUUAUACGCUUCUGAUCCCUACUCAUAGUGAACCAUUUGAUCUUUGAAGUACCCAAUAUUCUAGAACUUUCAGUUUGUCAUCGUUAGUAUCUACUAACUGUUGGCCCAGAGGAUCCCAAUGAGUCUUCUCCCCGCACUGAAGAGUUCGGCUGCUGGUGCCCCUGACCAGCUCUGUGAUGGUGCCAGCCUUGGAUGAGCAGCCCGCUCCCACAGCUCCCUGGCACACCUGCCAUCACAGAGCAGGACGCGGGUCUGCAAGCAAGCCUGCCAGAGAAACUGGCAGUCUGAGUCCUUUCAUUGAACAUUGCCUUUACACAGGUCUGGGUCUUCAGGUGCUGCACGCUGCUGCAGCCCCGCUUGGGUCACUGGAGCAAUGCUAAUAUAAGCCAGAUGGGAUGCUGACCUACCCUCCAAUUAAAAAAUACCCAGGCCACCA